rnacentral:rRNA from 1 species
CGGUCUGCUACCUCUUACCCAUGUCUUUUGAGUACCUUCGUUUCCUCGGCGGGUCCGCCCGCCGAUUGGACAACAUUCAAACCCUUUGCAGUUGCAAUCAGCGUCUGAAAAAACAUAAUAGUUACAACUUUCAACAACGGAUCUCUUGGUUCUGGCAUCGAUGAAGAACGCAGCGAAAUGCGAUAAGUAGUGUGAAUUGCAGAAUUCAGUGAAUCAUCGAAUCUUUGAACGCACAUUGCGCCCCUUGGUAUUCCAUGGGGCAUGCCUGUUCGAGCGUCAUUUGUACCUUCAAGCUCUGCUUGGUGUUGGGUGUUUUGUCUCGCCUCUGCGUGUAGACUCGCCUUAAAACAAUUGGCAGCCGGCGUAUUGAUUUCGGAGCGCAGUACAUCUCGCGCUUUGCACUCAUAACGGCGACGUCCAAAAGUACAUUUUUACACUCUUGACCUCGGAUCAGGUAGGGAUACCCGCUGAACUUAAGCAUAUCA